rnacentral:rRNA from 1 species
AACGAACGCUGGCGGCAGGCUUAACACAUGCAAGUCGAACGCCCCUUCGGGGGAGUGGCAGACGGGUGAGUAACGCGUGGGAACGUGCCCUUCAGUUCGGGAUAACCCAGGGAAACUUGGGCUAAUACCGGAUACGUGCGAGAGCAGAAAGAUUUAUCGCUGAAGGAUCGGCCCGCGUCUGAUUAGCUGGUUGGUGAGGUAACGGCUCACCAAGGCGACGAUCAGUAGCUGGUCUGAGAGGAUGAUCAGCCACACUGGGACUGCGACACGGCCCAGACUCCUACGGGAGGCAGCAGUGGGGAAUAUUGGACAAUGGGCGCAAGCCUGAUCCAGCCAUGCCGCGUGAGUGAUGAAGGCCUUAGGGUUGUAAAGCUCUUUCGCCGACGAAGAUAAUGACGGUAGUCGGAGAAGAAGCCCCGGCUAACUUCGUGCCAGCCGCCGCCGUAACAC